CGCAGUGUAGCUCAGAUGGAUAGAGCGCUGGUUUUCGUCAGUUGAAAUUCAAUUGGAUCAGUAGGUCACAGGUUCGAGUCCUGUCACUGCGC
rnacentral:tRNA from 1 species